rnacentral:rRNA from 1 species
GGCCGCNGGGAUUCGAUUGAGUUUGAUCCUGGCUCAGGACGAACGCUGGCUGCGCGCCUAACACAUGCAAGUCGAACGGGACUAUCUCGGAAGAAGUUUUCGGAUGGAUUUUGGGAUAGUUUAGUGGCGGACGGGUGAGUAACACGUGAGCAACCUGCCUUCGAGAGGGGAAUAACGGCUGGAAACGGUCGCUAAUACCGCAUAAUGUACGGAUGGGACAUCCUGUCUGUACCAAAGAUUUAUCGCUCGAAGAUGGGCUCGCGUCCGAUUAGGUAGUUGGUGAGGUAACGGCCCACCAAGCCGACGAUCGGUAGCCGGACUGAGAGGGUGAACGGCCACAUUGGGACUGAGACACGGCCCAGACUCCUACGGGAGGCAGCAGUGGGGAAUAUUGCACAAUGGGGGAAACCCUGAUGCAGCGACGCCGCGUGAGUGAAGAAGUAUCUCGGUAUGUAAAGCUCUAUCAGCAGGAAAGAUAAUGACGGUACCUGACUAAGAAGCCCCGGCUAACUACGUGCCAGCAGCCGCGGUAAUACGUAGGGGGCAAGCGUUAUCCGGAUUUACUGGGUGUAAAGGGAGCGUAGACGGCAGCGCAAGUCUGGAGUGAAAUGCCG